rnacentral:rRNA from 1 species
GAUGAACGCUGGCGGCGUGCUUAACACAUGCAAGUCGAACGGAAAGGCCCAAGCUUGCUUGGGUACUCGAGUGGCGAACGGGUGAGUAACACGUGGGUGAUCUGCCCUGCACUUCGGGAUAAGCCUGGGAAACUGGGUCUAAUACCGGAUAGGACCACUUCUUGGAUGUUGUGGUGGAAAGUUUUUUCGGUGUGGGAUGAGCUCGCGGCCUAUCAGCUUGUUGGUGGGGUAAUGGCCUACCAAGGCGUCGACGGGUAGCCGGCCUCAGAGGGUGUACGGCCACAUUGGGACUGAGGUACGGCCCAGACUCCUACGGGAGGCAGCAGUGGGGAAUAUUGCACAAUGGGCGCAAGCCUGAUGCAGCGACGCCGCGUGGGGGAGGACGGCCUUCGGGUUGUAAACUCCUUUCGCUAGGGACGAAGCGUUUUGUGACGGUACCUGGCGAAGAAGCACCGGCUAACUACGUG